rnacentral:rRNA from 1 species
AUUGAACGCUGGCGGCAUGCUUUACACAUGCAAGUCGAACGGUAACAGGGUGCUUGCACCGCUGACGAGUGGCGAACGGGUGAGUAAUGCAUCGGAACGUACCGUGUAGUGGGGGAUAACGUAGCGAAAGUUACGCUAAUACCGCAUACGCCCUGAGGGGGAAAGCGGGGGAUCUUCGGACCUCGCGCUAUAUGAGCGGCCGAUGUCGGAUUAGCUAGUUGGUGGGGUAAAGGCCUACCAAGGCAACGAUCCGUAGCGGGUCUGAGAGGAUGAUCCGCCACACUGGGACUGAGACACGGCCCAGACUCCUACGGGAGGCAGCAGUGGGGAAUUUUGGACAAUGGGCGAAAGCCUGAUCCAGCCAUGCCGCGUGAGUGAAGAAGGCCUUCGGGUUGUAAAGCUCUUUCAGCUGGAAAGAAAACGCUCGGGAUAAUACCCCGGGCGGAUGACGGUACCAGCAGAAGAAGCACCGGCUAACUACGUG